rnacentral:lncRNA from 1 species
CUUUUCUCACCCAUCCCCAACCACUCAAGCCAAAGCCAGUAUGCCCCUUUGCCUACUCUACCCACUGAAAUAGAAGAGGUGGAGGGAUGUCAAAAAGAGUGGAGUUUCCCAUCAGAGCGACUCUCAUAGACAGGAGGAAAGAAGACAUUUCAAUUCGUCCUUGAAAAAAGAAAAAAAGUACAGCAACUCUACUUACUCUACUUAAAAGAUACGACCA